GAUGAACGCUGGCGGCGUGCCUAAUACAUGCAAGUCGAGCGAACAGACGAGGAGCUUGCUCCUCUGACGUUAGCGGCGGACGGGUGAGUAACACGUGGAUAACCUACCUAUAAGACUGGGAUAACUUCGGGAAACCGGAGCUAAUACCGGAUAAUAUAUUGAACCGCAUGGUUCAAUAGUGAAAGACGGUUGUGCUGUCACUUAUAGAUGGAUCCGCGCCGCAUUAGCUAGUUGGUAAGGUAACGGCUUACCAAGGCAACGAUGCGUAGACGACCUGAGAGGGUGAUAGGCCACCCUGGAACUGAGCCACGCUCCAGACUCCUACGGGAGGCAGCAGUAGGGAAUCUUCCGCAAUGGGCGAAAGCAUGACGGAGCAACGCCGCGUGAGUGAUGACGGUCUUCGGAUCGUAAAACUCUGUUAUUAGGGAAGAACAAAUGUGUAAGUAACUAUGCACGUCUUGACGGUACCUAAUCAGAAAGCCACGGCUAACUACGUG
rnacentral:rRNA from 1 species